GAGAGAGAGCUCAGAUCGAGCGAGAGAGAGAGAGAGAGAGCGGGGGACAAUGAUAUCUCUCCCCUACCCCUUGCCUGCUCUCCUCCCCUAAGCCCGCCGAACCUCACGACCUCCUCGCCGGAAUCCGAGGCGAUGCAGGAGGACCGCCGGCCGGAAUCCGGCAGCGCUACGACGAACGCUGCCGAGACGUUGGUUAGAUCGCCGCUCGACAAGCCCCUCAGCGAGCUUACCGAAGAGGACAUCGCGCAGCUCACCCGCGAGGACUGCCGUCGAUUCCUUAAAGAAAAAGGCAUGCGGCGGCCGUCCUGGAACAAAUCGCAGGCGAUCCAGCAGGUCAUCUCACUCAAGGCCCUCCUCGAGGGCCGACCCGACUCCGGCGACCACCCCGCCACCCCCGGCUGCCGCCAGAAGCCUCCCCCUAUGCCGCCGGUAACCCCACCGCACGCCUCUCUUCCGUCGCCGCAGGAGGAGGUAGGCGGCGACUCGCCGGCGCCGGCGAAGGAGCCAUCGCCGACGCCGUACCGGAGGAGAGAUCCGAUCCCGCGGGUCCUUUUUGCCGGCGAGCCGUCCUGCCGUUUCCCAGUCGCCAUGAGGGACCAGCAACCGCCGGAGAUUCCCUCCCACUCGCCCAGGGUGCCGGAGGAAGUACCGACGUGCCAGAUGACGAUCUUCUACGACGGCGAAGUGAACGUCUACAACGACGUGACGGCCGAUAAGGCGCGGGCGAUCAUGCUACUCGCGGGGAGCCGGGACAGCUAUGGCCCCGUGGCCCAACCCGGUCCGGUUCACUCUUCGCGGCCGGUCCGCGCCCGCUUUCCCCUUGCUUUUCUCGGACCGGGCCGAGGCCCGGUCCCUACGGCUUCGCCGCCUGCCGCGGCUUUCCCCGCCUCGCCAGCUGUUGCAGGGAGGUUUUUCCAUCAUUUCCGGGAGGCAGCGGACGCCGAGUGGAGAGCCGCGCGAGAUAUCGAGCCUGGUGCCUUCAGACAUUUCGCACAAUUGACAGCCUUACUUUGGGCUCUGCUUGUUAAUUCUUUGAUAUCAGAAACACAAUUUCAUGCUUCCAACAUAUGCUGGUUUUACCUACUGCAGAGGGUCCAACAAGUAGAAAAGCAUCGUUGCAGCGGUAUCUGGAGAAAAGGAAGGACAGGUUUAAAGGCAAGAAAACUCUUGGAGGGCCACCUUCAAACAUGGAGAUGAUGUACUUGAGCCAAAAGUUCAGGGGUCAGAUACCAAAUGAGCAGUUAAGUCAGAGUGACACUAGCUCCCCUACCCAUCCUAGACCACCUUGCACACCAACUAGGUGCAGUUCAAUAGAGUUCCAGACUCAGAAACAUCAUAUCUCGGUUGAUCUCAAUGAUGAUGCAGGUGGUGGCAAAUGAAUUGCUACGUGACAUUGAUCAGUCUAUGAUUAUCUAACUGAUCCAAUGACACAAAGAUGGGCUUCAAUACCUUAAGUGGAAAAGCAGACUGUUGGUUCCACAUUGUUUUGAGAUGAAAAACCCACCUAAUCUAAAUGCCUGCCCUCAUUUUGGCUGAGAUUUCGAUAUCCAAGAAGCUUCACUUCGCUUCAUUAAGGCUGUUGCAACCUUGAUCAGCCGGUAAAUAAGUUUGUGGAUCAGAAUACCAUGGUAAUAAGUUCAGGAAAAGAAGAAAAAGAGUUGAGGAUCGUCAUUAGCCUUUGUGCAUACCAGAAAUUGGCCAAGAGUCCCAGCAUUUUUCUAUCUUAUUAACUUGGCUCCUAUCUAUCCAAGACCACAGCCAUAGGCCUGUGUCAAACUUCAGUGAUCUUAUCUGCUAGGUGAAUGUGGUUUGAGUUUGAUCAUCUGAUUUUGCUCGAGAAAUGAGUUCUGCUGAUUCUGCAACUAAGAUAUCUGGCCAGGUUGAUGGUAGGCCUAUGUGUUAGCUGAGUCGCAGUGCAUGAAAAAACUUGAACUCAAAGUACUUGUAAGAUACUAGCUCUGUAGCCUCCUAACUGACAGGUCCCUUUUUUAGGCUAAGUAGGAGUUUUUUUUUUUAAAUUGGCAUUUGCAUAGUCCUUCAAAUUUGCUUGUGUUAUGGAUAAUUUAUUUUGUAAGAUCCUUAAUUGCGGCCAAUUCCUUAUUUUCCUUCAAGGAAUAUGAAGGGAAUGCCACCUUGGUUUGAACUCAGAACUUCGCCACAGCACAUGGCCAAAGAGAGGUAUGCCAACCAGCAGAACCAAGCCCCAUUAGUUUGACUCCUUGCUAUAUAGUAGGGUUCUGAAAAAUUGAGAUAGUUGUUUGUAAGUCAAUGAUGAAUUUUAUCUCAAAUUAAUCAUUUCUUUCCAUAAUUGUAUCAGUUUCUGAAUGCACGGCAGAUGAAUUCGGAGACCUUGAGUUUUCCCUUUGGCAAGGAUAUAAUGGUACCUUAUAAACAUUCAACAGACGUGUAUAUUAACAUGGAUAUUACCACUUCGAUACUAUUACUGUUGGACAUUGCUACCAUUAUCAGAGUUGAACUUGUCCAAGAUCAUGCACUGGUAUCUCAUAUGGAACCCAAGUCCUUAUAUAAUGACAGAAGCUGAGUUAUUGCAAAUCUUUAGAAAUGGUGGUAGCUUAUGUAGUUCUACAGAAUAAGCUAGGAGAAGAUUUAUUCUGUGUGAAGAAGCAAGAGACUUUUACUUACCAUGACCAAAGGUGCCCACAGAACAGGCCAAAUGCAGCAGAGUGAUAACCCCGGAGGGGACUCCCCGGUGGUAGGGGGAUAGGAGACGGACAUCUUGGGAAUGAAUUGUAUGGACUAUCUUAAACACUGCAACAUUUGUUAAAUCAAUGGAGACUAUCUAAAAACAUUGCCAAACACUUGCAUCCUCAAAUGUUUGAAGGAACUAGUGCAUUAAGCUAUUCAUGAGGGCUAACUUGAUCCUUUUCUCUGGGAAUCUUUGUUAAGGAAAUCCUAGACGGUUCUAAUUAUCAUCUGGGUAUGAUCAAUUCUAGAUUUGGCCAAAUGGCCAUCCUAUCUCUUCUAUAUUCAUAAGAGAUUUUAAACUUUUUAUUAGUGGCAUCGAGCAGUUUAUUUUAAUAGGAUCUCUUGUAUAGUAUUCUCGCUAUUGUAGAGUUUAACUACUAAGCUUGGCAUGAAGAAAGCAGAAUGCUUUGGAAGAAUCUUCUAUAGUUUGGGAGGGAUCUUUAAUGAUAAAAAAAGGAAGAGUCUGGGUUUUUGAUGAACUAGGUGUGGCAUUUGUUUCAUUAUUCAUUCUAUUGUUAAUGAAGUUCUUGGUGGUUGGCAUGAUCAAGUGGCAAUGAUGUUUGUUUGAGUGGAUAUGGAGAGGACUGCUGGUGCAUGAGGACUGCUGAAGAGUUUCAGAGAAAUGAGGAAUGAUAUAGCUCAGAGAUUGUUUUUUUUUUUUGGGGGUAGAGUAGCUCAGAGAUUGUUUGGUGAUCAGUUUCGCAGCUGCAGGACAAGUGCUUUGGUUGUGUUUAUCGGUAGACAUUUCAGUGGACAGCAUGGCCAUGGUUGCAACUUGUUGAACUUGUUACAUGUUGCCUCCAGCAAACGACAAAUUACCAUCUGUGCUGUGGUUACAGAAAUAGUUACAGGGGAAGCUUUCCACUUAAAUUGAAGUUUUCAUGGAAACACUUCUCAGAUAUGGACUUAAUUCUGAUAUUGGAGAAACAGGGAUGACAGAUUAAAGAAGACUGAUGUAAAUACUAGAGAGAAGAUAUUGGCCAGUUUCUUAUCAAUUAUCUCAUAUUUUCCAAAUAAAUUUUCUAUGAAUUUCCACAA